GGACGAACGCUGGCGGCGUGCUUCAUACAUGCAAGUCGAACGAUAAGGCGCCUUCGGACGUACAUAAGUGGCGGACGGGUGAGUAAAAUGUAGAGAAUCUGCCCUAGAGAGGGGGACAACCGUUGGAAACGACAGCUAAUACCCCAUAUGAGCGUAGCUGAAAUGCUAUUCUUGAAAACUCCGGUGCUCUGGGAUGAGUCUGCAUCUGAUUAGCUAGUUGGGGGUGUAAUGGACCACCAAGGCGAUGAUCAGUAGCUGGUUUGAGAGGAUGAUCAGCCACAAUGGGACUGAGACACGGCCCAUACUCCUACGGGAGGCAGCAGUAGGGAAUUUUGCGCAAUGGGGGAAACCCUGAACCGCAGCAACGCCGCGUGACCGAUGAAGCCCUUCGGGGUGUAAAGGUCUGUCAGUGGGGACGAACAAUGACGGUACCCACAGAGGAAGCACCGGCUAACUCCGUGCCAGCAGCCGC
rnacentral:rRNA from 1 species